CGGUUUGAUCAUGGCUCAGAUUGAACGCUGGCGGCAUGCCUUACACAUGCAAGUCGAACGGCAGCACGGGGGCAACCCUGGUGGCGAGUGGCGAACGGGUGAGUAAUACAUCGGAACGUGUCCUGUAGUGGGGGAUAGCCCGGCGAAAGCCGGAUUAAUACCGCAUACGCUCUACGGAGGAAAGGGGGGGAUCUUAGGACCUCCCGCUACAGGGGCGGCCGAUGGCAGAUUAGCUAGUUGGUGGGGUAAAGGCCUACCAAGGCGACGAUCUGUAGCUGGUCUGAGAGGACGACCAGCCACACUGGGACUGAGACACGGCCCAGACUCCUACGGGAGGCAGCAGUGGGGAAUUUUGGACAAUGGGCGAAAGCCUGAUCCAGCAAUGCCGCGUGUGUGAAGAAGGCCUUCGGGUUGUAAAGCACUUUUGUCCGGAAAGAAAACCUCCGCCCUAAUAUGGUGGGGGGGGAUGACGGUACCGGAAGAAUAAGCACCGGCUAACUACGUGCCAGCAGCCGCGGUAAUACGUAGGGUGCAAGCGUUAAUCGGAAUUACUGGGCGUAAAGCGUGCGCAGGCGGUCCGCUAAGACAGAUGUGAAAUCCCCGGGCUUAACCUGGGAACUGCAUUUGUGACUGGCGGGCUAGAGUAUGGCAGAGGGGGGUAGAAUUCCACGUGUAGCAGUGAAAUGCGUAGAGAUGUGGAGGAAUACCGAUGGCGAACGCAGCCCCCUGGGCCAAUACUGACGCUCAUGCACGAAAGCGUGGGGAGCAAACAGGAUUAGAUACCCUGGUAGUCCACGCCCUAAACGAUGUCAACUAGUUGUUGGGGAUUCAUUUCCUUAGUAACGUAGCUACGCGUGAAGUUGACC
rnacentral:rRNA from 1 species